rfam:Stentor coeruleus isolate WM001 SteCoe_contig_172, whole genome shotgun sequence.
AGGACUGUACUCGUACAGGAUCACUUCUAUAGUGAUUUUUCCUAUUUACUUCAUCAAAACAGGCGAUAACCCGCUCCAGGAGGAUGAUUUGUGCAUUUGCAGCCAUAUGGGAUAUCUCGAUCAGGUACUUGUACUUGUCAUUGAGUGAUGACCUUCGGCUUAUAGCUUUAGGCAUGCAAGUGGGUCUGACUGGAU